AUUGAACGCUGGCGGCAUGCUUUACACAUGCAAGUCGAACGGUAACAGGCCGCAAGGUGCUGACGAGUGGCGAACGGGUGAGUAAUGCAUCGGAACGUGCCCAGUCGUGGGGGAUAACGCAGCGAAAGCUGUGCUAAUACCGCAUACGAUCUAUGGAUGAAAGCGGGGGACCGUAAGGCCUCGCGCGAUUGGAGCGGCCGAUGUCAGAUUAGGUAGUUGGUGGGGUAAAGGCCUACCAAGCCGACGAUCUGUAGCUGGUCUGAGAGGACGACCAGCCACACUGGGACUGAGACACGGCCCAGACGCCCACGGGAGGUAGCAGUGGGGAAUUUUGGACAAUGGGCGCAAGCCUGAUCCAGCAAUGCCGCGUGCAGGAAGAAGGCCUUCGGGUUGUAAACUGCUUUUGUACGGAACGAAAAGGCCUGGGUUAAUACCCUGGGCCGAUGACGGUACCGUAAGAAUAAGCACCGGCUAACUACGUGCCAGCCGCCGCCGUAAAAC
rnacentral:rRNA from 1 species